rnacentral:lncRNA from 1 species
UUCUCCUGAGAAAGGUUGUUUUUGAACAAAUUCUAUGUAUUCGGGGUCUAUCUCAAAACUAGAUGCUAUAAUAGGCUUUGAAGAUUUUGGUGGUUCGAGAUGUGUGCCCGUAGGUCUAUGAAAUUCAUAGAUAGACAUGUUUGAAUUCAUGAUAGACCAGAGAUCAAGGAUUAGAUAAGAAGAAAGGAUAGCAGAGAUGAGGCAAAGGAUAA